CCUACGGGUGGCAGCAGUGAGGAAUAUUGGUCAAUGGGCGAGAGCCUGAACCAGCCAAGUCGCGUGAGGGAGUACUGCCCUAUGGGUUGUAAACCUCUUUUGUCGGGGAGCAAAAGCCGGACGUGUCCGGCUGUGAGAGUACCCGCAGAAAAAGCAUCGGCUAACUCCGUGCCAGCAGCCGCGGUAAUACGGGGGAUGCGAGCGUUAUCCGGAUUUAUUGGGUUUAAAGGGUGCGCAGGCGGAUUUUUAAGUCAGCGGUAAAAUCGUGGGGCUCAACCCCAUCCAGCCGUUGAAACUGGGGAUCUAGAGUGUGCGAGAGGUAUGCGGAAUGCGUGGUGUAGCGGUGAAAUGCAUAGAUAUCACGCAGAACCCCGAUUGCGAAGGCAGCAUACCGGUGCACAACUGACGCUCAGGCACGAAAGCGUGGGUAUCGAACAGGAUUAGAUACCCCAGUAGUC
rnacentral:rRNA from 1 species